rnacentral:lncRNA from 1 species
AGUCAGUAACAGGGAGGAGCAAGAAGAGAAAAAUUCUGCAAUUCAACCCAUUAAACUGAACUGCUUGCAACGAACGACUAUACUCCUUUACGGGAAAGAUAGUAUAGACACAACGUAUCAAACUACUACAGCUGAUGUCUUCUACUUGUCACGAGGUCCUCACUGCAGGAAAAUACACAAAUCAAAGCCUCCUCGUGUUGUCCAAAAACUGGCGGUCAGCAGCCAUCCAAGUGCCAUUAUAGGACCUCUACUGCUUUCCACUUCAAAGCUCAAUCCGCAAUUAAAGCAAUCACAUCACGCGGUAUUUAAGAAAAAAAUUAACCCAACGAUGAACUUAAUUCCCAAGCCAUUUUGCAAUUACACUGCUGAAACAAGUCCAAAACUCAUCACGACAGCUACUAGCAGAGCACGAUCCUCUGGAUGACAGAAAAUGCAGACUUGGCAAUAUCUAUUGACACCUAUCCAAAAAGUCCCAGAACACAAAGGAAACCAAGAAGCUCAUUGCUGAUCAACAGAAUCGACAACUUUGUUGAUGCACACAUAUGACCAAUUCCAGCCAUCAUUUACACCUGCCACCUGAAUUUCCAUAAUCAAGCUAAGCUCUUGAGGCUCAUUAACAAAACCAACUCCAUUGUCUAUGAAAAAGAAGGAAAGGACGAACGAAAGAGAGAAAGAAAAAAAGAAUUGAGCGAAUUCUAGCUGCGAUAUCAGCAAAUUGGAAACACACCCACCACAAACUAACAAAAUCUAACCCAAAAAAGGGAGGAAACAGAGAGCACAAACAGAUGGGUGAUGAAAAGUCAAAGCAAGAAAAGGAAAAGGAAAAAGAAAAAGAAAAUCAAGAACCUCCGGAAGGCCGUCUUCCAAGAGCAAAAUCUCCUCUUCCUGGGAACCCAUCUCUCCUUUGUUCUUCCAACGCAGUCAAGAGUAUUAAAAUGAGGGAACGCGCACGGAAGCGAUCGACAAGGAAGGGACGGCUAGACGCUUGGACGGGACGACAUAAAACAGACGAAUGGAAUAUGGGCAAAGGAAAGGAUUCCACACUUCCCUGACGCGGCCCAGGUGGUCAGCGACCGAAUUAUCAGCGAAUCGGAAUGGCAGAGUUGACCCGUCAAGUUGGUGCGCGAGAGGCGAAGAAGGGAGGAACUGGGGAGGGAAGAGCAAGAACGUUACUUGGGGAUCGGCUGAGUCUCUGUAAUGGAUCGAAAGUGGAGAAGGAGGCCGCCCCGCGGUUGUUCAAGAUCGGAUUUUUAUUUUCUGAUGACUUCGUGGGUAUUCCCGAG